GUGAUCCUGGCUCAGGACGAACGCUGGCGGCGUGCCUAAUACAUGCAAGUCGAGCGGAUCAAUUAAGAGCUUGCUCUUAUGAGAUCAGCGGCGGACGGGUGAGUAACACGUGGGCAACCUGCCUUACAGACUGGGAUAACUCCGGGAAACCGGGGCUAAUACCGGAUGAUCAAUGGAAUUGCAUAAUUCUAUUGUAAAGGUUGGGAUUUAUCCUAACACUGUAAGAUGGGCCCGCGGCGCAUUAGCUAGUUGGUGAGGUAACGGCUCACCAAGGCAACGAUGCGUAGCCGACCUGAGAGGGUGAUCGGCCACACUGGAACAGAGACACGGUCCAGACUCCUACGGGAGGCAGCAGUAGGGAAUCAUCCGCUAUGGGCGAAAGCCUGACGGUGCAACGCCGCGUGAACGAUGAAGGUCUUCGGAUUGUAAAGUUCUGUUGUUAGGGAAGAACAAGUGCCAUUCGAAUAGGUUGGCACCUCGACGGUACCUAACCAGAAAGCCCCGGCUAACUACGUGCCAGCAGCCGCGGUAAUACGUAGGGGGCAAGCGUUGUCCGGAAUUAUUGGGCGUAAAGCGCGCGCAGGCGGUCUCUUAAGUCUGAUGUGCAAGCCCACGGCUCAACCGUGGAGGGUCUUUGGAAACUGGGGGACUUGAGUGUAGGAGAGGAAAGUGGAAUUCCA
rnacentral:rRNA from 1 species